AGCAGUCGCCACGGGAAUACAGAGGGUGCGAGCGUUAAUCGGAUUUACUGGGCGUAAAGCGUGCGUAGGCGGCUUUUUAAGUCGGAUGUGAAAUCCCUGAGCUUAACUUAGGAAUUGCAUUCGAUACUGGGAAGCUAGAGUAUGGGAGAGGAUGGUAGAAUUCCAGGUGUAGCGGUGAAAUGCGUAGAGAUCUGGAGGAAUACCGAUGGAGAAGGCAGCCAUCUGGCCUAAUACUGACGCUGAGGUACGAAAGCAUGGGGAGCAAACAGGAUUAGAUACCCGUGUAGUCCCUGUCUCUUAUAA
rnacentral:rRNA from 1 species